UGCUCCAUACUAUCCACCCGCUGAGUUAGAUCUUCCAACUGAAGCUUUUCAGCUGACCGCUGCUGCUUGCUCACUACAACACUUGCCUCAAGUGCAGCUUUGUCUCGUGCAAGCCUAUCUAUUUCUUCNNNNNNNAUGCUGCUCUUUCAGGAUCCACCAAAGACCCCUGAGGGUGACUAUGACUGUGAAUUGGUUUCCUUCUGUGGAUAUUUUUGAGAAGAUGAUUUUGAUCUUUCACAAAAUCUUCAUUGGCAAAUUCCCAUCUCUCAGGAUCAAUCUUUCUGAAUCCAUAUGUAUUUAAUUGCCUGAUGAAGCUGGAGAAAUUGUUGUGCUUGAAGUAAGUAGGAAGGAGGAGUCGAGCGAAUUCUGGAGGAUUCCAUACCACGAAGCUGUUCUUGUUCGAGCUCCACGACACGAUCUCAUCCGUCGACGAGUCAUCCACCAUAUCGUACGUCUUCAAUAAGAACGGUGCCGGUCCUCCGCCUCCUCCGCCCAACACGGCGGAGGAGGCUGAGCUUGGGGCCACUUCCAUUUGACUCUCUCUGACUUUGGAAUUAAUAAUUUUGCAAUUAGAGAUAGGAUAAUCGAGGGAUUAAUAGAAUUGGAGGUAUGUGGAUCCAAUUGAGAACAAACCCUAGCUCAGCUUUAGAGGGAAAAUAGGGAGAUGAUCGAGAAGGGAGACAGAUAAUUGAAGGAAAAUUCGGAC
rnacentral:misc_RNA from 1 species